AUUCUAUGAUGAAUCCUUAAAUUCAGUUCUGCUUCCGAAAGAGAGCGAUCUCUUGUGGACAACCUUACAUACCAAAAACAUAACCCUGAUCA
rnacentral:snoRNA from 1 species